GUGUCAGCAGCCGCGGUAAUACGAAGGGGGCUAGCGUUGUUCGGAUUUACUGGGCGUAAAGCGCACGUAGGCGGACUUUUAAGUCAGGGGUGAAAUCCCAGAGCUCAACUCUGGAACUGCCUUUGAUACUGGAAGUCUUGAGUAUGGUAGAGGUGAGUGGAAUUCCGAGUGUAGAGGUGAAAUUCGUAGAUAUUCGGAGGAACACCAGUGGCGAAGGCGGCUCACUGGACCAUUACUGACGCUGAGGUGCGAAAGCGUGGGGAGCAAACAGGAUUAGAUACCCCAGUAGUCC
rnacentral:rRNA from 1 species